AUGCUUUACCUAUUUAUCCUUUCAUCUUCCACAUGUGUUGUUCUCAACUGCAGCUACCUAAACACCGUCGCCACUGCCGCUUCACCGCCAUAUAUCACUGCUAUCUGAAUUGAUAGUCAGGAUUAUGUGGUUUGCAAGUGGUGAUGGUGGCAAUUUUGAGAUUCAACCUACAAGUAUCUACUUGGUUGAAGAUUUGAUUGUUGGAAAUGGUGGGUGUGUAAUGGUUUACAAGGCUUGUAGGUUGUUAGAUUCGGUGCGGCUGUUAACGACAAUCGUUAGUCUUUUUGUGGAUUAGACUACUUUCAUAAUUGUGUUGGUGGAUCACUGCCUUCUUCACACCGUGAUAUCAAGAGCGCAAAGCGGAUUCGGAAAGGUGUCCAUUCUUCUCAAACACUCUUUUCUUCAUUAAAAUCAAGAUUCUUGAUGUUCGGAACAGAACAAAACGAACGUUCACACAAAAUAACCACCAGCAAACAAAUAUCCAGAAGCAAAAUAACCACCAGCAAACAAAUAUCCAGAAGCAGAGCCUUUAGCAGCUGUUCCAUAUGGGAUUGUGGAGAAUUGGGUGGGUUUGGAAUGUUCUCUGUUGACUUUCGUUGACCGAGAACUAAUGGUUUUAUUGAUAUUAAGUUCUCGGCCUCUAUUAUUGGGAGCUAAUGGUUUUUAAACUCAUAUAUAAUUAGUAAUUCAGUAGCCUCAGGCUGCUAAACAGUAACAGUAGCCUCAGGUAAACAGUCACAGUUGAUUGAUGGGUUAGAGGCCGGGACUCAUUUUCCGGCGACAAAACCCACCUUGACUUGCAACGGAGAUUAUGAUGCUUUCUAAACGGUAUCUUUAUAACCGGUUGAGAUGAUCCUUGUUUAUGACGGAGAUUAUGAUUCUCUCUACGUUGUAUUAUUCGUAACUUGGUGAAUUGAUCCUUGUUUAUGAUAGAGAUCAUGAUGCUUUCCAUAUGACAUCGUCAUUACUUGACGAGAUGAUCCUUGUGUAUGAUAUGUAUCGUGUAAAUAUUAUUAUUUUAGUCGUGGAACAAGACUACCUUCAUAUUCAUAUAGCUGAAUUUCUAAUUUUAAUUUAGACUGA
rnacentral:lncRNA from 1 species